GGGGAAUAUUGCGCAAUGGGGGGAACCCUGACGCAGCAACGCCGCGUGAGUGAAGAAGGUCUUCGGAUCGUAAAGCUCUGUCAUCGGGGACGAAGAAUGACGGUACCCGAAGAGGAAGCCCCGGCUAACUACGUGCCAGCAGCCGCGGUAAUACGUAGGGGGCGAGCGUUGUCCGGAAUUACUGGGCGUAAAGGGUGCGUAGGCGGCCUGAUAAGUCAGGUGUGAAAUACCAGGGCUCAACUCUGGGGGUGCACUUGAAACUGUCGGGCUUGAGUGCAGGAGAGGAAAGCGGAAUUCCUAGUGUAGCGGUGAAAUGCGUAGAUAUUAGGAGGAACACCAGUGGCGAAGGCGGCUUUCUGGACUGUAACUGACGCUGAGGCACGAAAGCGUGGGUAGCGAAC
rnacentral:rRNA from 1 species